GAUGAACGCUAGCGAUAGGCUUAACACAUGCAAGUCGAGGGGCAGCGAGGGUAGCAAUACCUGUCGGCGACCGGCGCACGGGUGAGUAACGCGUAUGUAACCUGCCCGCAACAGGGGGAUAACCCGGCGAAAGUCGGACUAAUACCGCAUAAAACAGGGGUCCCGCAUGGGAAUAUUUGUUAAAGAUUUAUCGGUUGCGGAUGGGCAUGCGUACCAUUAGGUAGUUGGUGAGGUAACGGCUCACCAAGCCUUCGAUGGUUAGGGGUUCUGAGAGGAAGGUCCCCCACACUGGUACUGGGACCCGUACCAGACUCCUACGGGAGGCAGCAGUGAGGAAUAUUGGUCAAUGGGCGAGAGCCUGAACCAGCCAAGUCGCGUGAAGGAUGACUGCCCUAUGGGUUGUAAACUUCUUUUACAAGGGAAUAAAAUGAGAUACGUGUAUUUUAUUGCAUGUACCUUGGGAAUAAGCAUCGGCUAACUCCGUG
rnacentral:rRNA from 1 species